GGUCGCAAGACUGAAACUCAAAGGAAUUGACGGGGGCCCGCACAAGCGGUGGAAGCAUGUGGUUUAAUUCGAAGCAACGCGAAGAACCUUACCAGGUCUUGACAUCCUCUGACAAUCCUAGAGAUAGGACGUCCCCUUCGGGGGCAGAGUGACAGGUGGUGCAUGGUUGUCGUCAGCUCGUGUCGUGAGAUGUUGGGUUAAGUCCCGCAACGAGCGCAACCCUUGAUCUGAGUUGCCAGCUCAGUGGGCCU
rnacentral:rRNA from 1 species